rnacentral:rRNA from 1 species
GACGUAGGGCGCGAGCGUUGUCCGGAAUUAUUGGGCGUAAAGAGCUCGUAGGCGGUUUGUUGCGUCGGCUGUGAAAUCCCGAGGCUCAACCUCGGGUCUGCAGUCGAUACGAGCAAACUAGAGUGUUGCAGGGGAGACUGGAAUUCCUGGUGUAGCGGUGAAAUGCGCAGAUAUCAGGAGGAACGCCGAUGGCGAAGGCAGGUCUCUGGGCAUUAACUGACGCUGGAGGAGCGAAAGCAUGGGGAGCGAACAGG